rnacentral:lncRNA from 1 species
UCAAACUUCGUUAGGACCUUUUACUCUAUUGGACACACGUUACCAAAAAUCUACACAAUAAACCGUUUGAGUUAUCUCAUACUGAUAAAUUCUUAAGAUGUUAGUUAUAAAAUGUUGACAUUAUCAAAUUCCAUGAGUCUAGUUUGUGGAUAUAAUUUUCUCCAUAUCCCUCGUCACAUAAUAUUUGCACUCAAAGCUCCCC